GUGUUUCGGGUGUGUGUGUAGUGUGUGUGUGUAGUGUGUGUGUGUAGUGUGUGUGUGUGUAGUGUGUGUGUGUGUAGUGUGUGUGUAGUGUGUGUGUGUAGUGUGUGUGUGUUGUGUGUGUGUAGUGUGUGUGUGUGUGUAGUGUGUGUGUUUCGGGUGUGUGUGUAGUGUGUGUGUGUAGUGUGUGUGUGUGUGUGUGUUGUGUGUGUGUGGUGUGUGUGUAGUGUGUGUGUGUAGUGUGUGUGUAGUGUGUGUGUGUAGUGUGUGUGUGUAGUGUGUGUGUGUAGUGUGUGUGUGUAGUGUGUGUGUGUAGUGUGUGUGUAGUGUGUGUGUAGUGUGUGUGUGUGUAGUGUGUGUGUAGUGUGUGUGUGUGUGUGUAGUGUGUGUGUAGUGUGUGUGUGUAGUGUGUGUGUGUGUGUGUGUGUGUGUGUGUGUGUGUGUGUGUGUAGUGUGUGUAGUG
ensembl:lncRNA